rnacentral:rRNA from 1 species
UACAGAGGGUGCAAGCGUUAAUCGGAAUUACUGGGCGUAAGGGCGCGUAGGCGGUUGUGUGAGUGUGAUGUGAAAGCCCCGGGCUUAACCUGGGAAGUGCAUCGCAAACGACAUAACUGGAGUAGAUGAGAGGGUGGCGGAAUUUCCGGUGUAGCGGUGAAAUGCGUAGAUAUCUGGAGGAACACCGGUGGCGAAGGCGGCGAUCCUGGACCGGUAUUGACGCUGAGGCGCGAAAGCCAGGGGAGCAAACGGG